GCGAUAUCAAGGUAGUAGCUUUUUACGCUUCAAACCUCAAAUAUGUCGACUGAGCUGCUCCUCCUGGUCGCCACUUUGGCGAUCGUUUUCUAUAUUUGGCAGAGGCGAGCCUUCAGCUUCUGGCAGCGCCAUGGAGUCAAGUACAUUCGACCCCUGCCCUUUCUGGGCUGCACCCGAGAGUUCCUAACGGCCCGAGUUCCAUUCUUCGAGCAAAUAAAAAAGUUCCAUGAGGCCCCCGGCUUCGAAAAGGAGCCCUUUGUGGGCGUCUAUUUGGCCUACAAGCCGGCCCUGGUCGUUCGCGACCUAGACCUGAUAAAGACGGUGAUGAUCAAGAAGUUCCAGUACUUCCACAACCGCGUCCUGCAAACGGAUCCGCACAACGAUGCCCUCGGCUUCAACAAUCUCUUCUUCGCCCGCAGCCCAGAGUGGAAGGAGCUGCGCCACAAGAUCUCCCCCGUGUUCACUUCUGGGAAGAUUAAGCAGAUGUAUCCUCUAAUGGUCAAGAUCGGCAAGGACCUUGAGAGCAGUGCCGAGAGACUGGCCGGUGCGUCACCGGUUCCGAUUAAGGAUCUGUGCGCCCGCUUCACCACCGACCUGAUUGCUACCAUUGCCUUCGGCGUGGAGGCCAACGCGUUAAAGGAUGCGAAGAGCGAGUUCUUCUACCACAACCAGGCCAUCUUUGCUUUGACAUGGAGCAGGGCCAUCGACUUCACCAUUAUCUUUAUGCUGCCUGCCCUGGUGUCCAUUGCACGUGUGAAGCUCUUCUCAAAGGAGACCACCAAGUUCAUCAGGAACACCAUCAACUACGUCCUGUCCGAGCGCGAACGGACGGGCGUUAAGAGAAACGACCUCGUGGACAUUCUGCUGGCUCUGAAGAGGGAGGCGGAAGCUAACCCCGAUCAGCUCCAAAAGUACAAGGACCUGGACUACCUCGUAGCCCAAGCCGCUGUCUUUCAAACGGCUGGGUUCGAGACGAGCUCAUCAACCAUGACUCUGACUCUAUACCACCUCGCCCAAAACGAGUCCCUGCAGGACCGCCUGUGUCAGGAAAUUACCGAAUACCUCGGAGACGAGGAUCACGUCAGCUACGAUCGCAUCCAGCAGAUGCCCUACCUUUCGCAGGUGGUGAAUGAGACAUUGCGAAUGUACCCCAUCGUUGGAUAUGCUGAGCGACAAUGUGCUCAGCCCGCGGAGGGCGAAAAGUUCACCCUGGAGCCGCACAGCUCCAUGGAACUACCGCACGGCAUGGCCGUAUAUGUGUCCGCCAUUGCCAUCCAUCAUGAUCCGCAGUACUGGCCGGAGCCGGAAAAGUUCGACCCGGACCGUUUCGACCCCGCCAAUCGCAGCAACCUGAACAUGGACGCAUACAUGCCCUUCGGCGUGGGUCCGCGCAACUGCAUUGGAAUGCGUCUGGGCCUUCUGCAGUCGAAACUGGGUCUGGUGCACCUGUUGCGCCACCACCGGGUCCACGCGACCGACCAGACCCCGAAGAAAAUUGAGUGGGCAGCCACUAGUCCGCUGAUCGCCUCGAAGCACGAAAUAUAUUUGCGGCUGGAAAAGGUGUCUAGUUAGAGGAUAGCCGGAAGAUUUGAACUCGGAUGCACAAUCCGGGAUGAGUGUAGAUGGUUUCCAAACCCAGGGAACCAGACUAGUAGGAGGUGUUCGAUCUCCAAAGUCCAUCUUAAGGCCCAUCGGAUGUUCUGCAAGAGCAAAAAUGCCAUGGCUUCAAAUAAAACUAGUAACUAGGCAGGGGAA